rnacentral:rRNA from 1 species
AGGACGAACGCUGGCGGCGUGCCUAACACAUGCAAGUCGAACGGACGAAGGGAGCUUGCUCCCUGAGUUAGUGGCGAACGGGUGAGUAACGCGUGAGCAACCUGCCUUUCAGAGGGGGACAACGGUUGGAACGACCGCUAAUACCGCAUGAAACAGUCGGACCGCAUGAUCUGACUGUCAAAGAUUUAUCGCUGAAAGAUGGGCUCGCGUCUGAUUAGAUAGUUGGUGGGGUAACGGCCUACCAAGUCGACGAUCAGUAGCCGGACUGAGAGGUUGAACGGCCACAUUGGGACUGAGAUACGGCCCAGACUCCUACGGGAGGCAGCAGUGGGGAAUAUUGGGCCAAUGGGGGAAACCCUGACCCAGCAACGCCGCGUGAAGGAAGAAGGCUUUCGGGUUGUAAGCUUCUUUUACCGAGGACGAAGAACGUGACGGUACUCGGAGAAAAAGCCACGGCUAACUACGUGCCAGCCGCGGC